AGAGUUUGAUCCUGGCUCAGAGUGAACGCUGGCGGCGUGCCUAACACAUGCAAGUCGAACGAGAACGGGUUACAGCUUGCUGUAACUGUCAGCUAAGUGGCGCACGGGUGAGUAAUAUAUAGUUAAUCUGCCCCAAAGAAGAGAAUAAUUGUUGGAAACGACUUGUAAUGCUCUAUAUGCCUUUAUUACAUAAGUAAGCAAGGGAAACAUUUAUGGCUUUGGGAUGAGACUGUACGGUAUCAGCUAGUUGGUGAGGUAAUGGCUCACCAAGGCUAUGACAUCUAACUGGUUUGAGAGGAUGAUCAGUCACACUGGAACUGAGACACGGUCCAGACUCCUACGGGAGGCAGCAGUGGGGAAUAUUGCACAAUGGAGGAAACUCUGAUGCAGCAACGCCGCGUGGAGGAUGACACAUUUCGGUGCGUAAACUCCUUUUAUAUGAGAAGAUAAUGACGGUAUCAUAUGAAUAAGCACCGGCUAACUCCGUGCCAGCAGCCGCGGUAAUACGGGGGGUGCAAGCGUUACUCGCAAUCACUGGGCGUAAAGAGAAUGUAGGCUGGUUAUUAAGUUGGAAGUGAAAUCCUAUGGCUCAA
rnacentral:rRNA from 1 species